rfam:Clostridium argentinense CDC 2741 T732.Contig249, whole genome shotgun sequence.
GGGUGGGGUAGAGGCGCGAUUGCUAAUAUUAACUAUAUCGAGGUCGGAAACCUAUGACAUAUAGUGAAAGGAGCCGUCGCCGAAGUUUCAGAUACCAAAAUCUGAUGCUGGGUCUGUAUUUAAUAGGUACAGGACUGUCAUCAUCGUAUUUGCUCGAUACUUUGAUGUUGCGCUAUCUCACAU